AGUGAACGCUGGCGGUAGGCCUAACACAUGCAAGUCGAACGGCAGCACAGUAAGAGCUUGCUCGUACGGGUGGCGAGUGGCGGACGGGUGAGGAAUACAGCGGAAUCUACUUUUUCGUGGGGGAUAACGUAGGGAAACUUACGCUAAUACCGCAAACGACCUAUGGGUGUAAGAAGGGGAUCUUGGGACCUUGCGCGAUUGAAUGAGCCGAUGUUGGAUUAGCUAGUUGGUGGGGUAAAGGCCCACCAAGGCGACGAUCCAUAGCUGGUCUGUGAGGAUGAGCACCCAAACUGGAACUGGGGCACGGUCCGGACUCCUACGGGAGGCACCAGUGGGGAAUAUUGGACAAUGGGCGCAAGCCUGAUCCAGCCAUACCGCGUGGGUGAAGAAGGCCUUCGGGUUGUAAAGCCCUUUUGUUGGGAAAGAAAAGCAGCAGGUUAAUACCCCGCUAUUCUGACGGUACCCAAAGAAUAAGCACCGGCUAACUUCGUG
rnacentral:rRNA from 1 species